UUGUUCACUCAAAUUCAGCUUUUCUUCGUGUAGCCGGAUGGGCUACUCGCCCUUCUUUUUCUUUCUUUCUCGCUCGCUCUACCACCCUCGCUCUCUUUCCGCUGCACUCGCUCCUUGUAUUGUGUGAUUGGGUUAAUUAGGAACCCACCUGCAUAUUGAUUACAGGGUGGUGUUUACCUGUAUAAAGGGAAGCCGUUUUUUUUUGUUGGAUCAUUCCUUCUUCUGGUGCGAUACAGCAGUAAAUGCUGGCCUAUUGGUUAAUUUACCGAUACGAUCGGAUUGUGUGACUGCUACAGGUAGGCCUCCUUUCGACCUCUGAUUUCUCUUAAAAGCCGGUAACUAGUAGUCAUAAUUCUGCGGCCCGCUACAGCGCCGCUGUUUCUCUUUUCUUUACUCCAGCUGUGGUGGAGAGACGCGUGAGUUGCGUCCACCGUACAGUACAGCGCCUCCAGUCUUGGGGGUUUGAUUGCUGCCGCACCCUCUCAGGGACCAACUGCCUGAUUUUAAGCAAAGAGUCGAGACGUCUGCCUAGCUGCUGUCUUGUCUUGCCCUGUUUCAUCUUGUGUUCCAAUCUGUUGGCCGUCCAGUUUUGUUCCUGCUGCUGGCCUCGCCUCGCCCCUGGGGGCUUUGGGUCUCACGCUAAGCCCCUUUUUUGGACUAUUGUUUUACUCCAGCUUUCGCGGCUGGUCGGGGCGAUCUUCAGCUGUAUAUUGGGCUGGUGUUACAAAAACUGGUACCGCCUCUCCCAGAUGUGGAGAGCUGCGCGAGACUGAGUAGGGCUACAGACAAUCGGAACCAGCACCAGCUGUGGGCUGGCUCGCAGGUGAACUGAGGAUCUACCAGCGGCCGUGGGACCUUAGGUGGUGGGUCGUUUUCCACACUUUUGUUGUACAGCACCAGGUGAAUAGACUAUAGUGGG